AAUGAACGCUGGCGGCGUGCCUAAUACAUGCAAGUCGAGCGAACAGAUGAGGAGCUUGCUCCUCUGACGUUAGCGGCGGACGGGUGAGUAACACGUGGAUAACCUACCUAUAAGACUGGGAUAACUUCGGGAAACCGGAGCUAAUACCGGAUAAUAUAUUGAACCGCAUGGUUCAAUAGUGAAAGACGGUUUUGCUGUCACUUAUAGAUGGAUCCGCGCCGCAUUAGCUAGUUGGUAAGGUAACGGCUUACCAAGGCAACGAUGCGUAGCCGACCUGAGAGGGUGAUCGGCCACACUGGAACUGAGACACGGUCCAGACUCCUACGGGAGGCAGCAGUAGGGAAUCUUCCGCAAUGGGCGAAAGCCUGACGGAGCAACGCCGCGUGAGUGAUGAAGGUCUUCGGAUCGUAAAGCUCUGUUAUUAGGGAAGAACAAAAGUGUAAGUAACUAUGCACGUCUUGACGGUACCUAAUCAGAAAGCCACGGCUAACUACGUG
rnacentral:rRNA from 1 species